rnacentral:ncRNA from 1 species
GAGAGCCACGUGUUGGGAAACCAGCCCGCGUGGUUCGGAGGGAGGCCGCGCCGGAAAAGGACUGAACACCAGGCACCUCGCCGCUCGGCCCACCCUGUU